UCGGAAGGCCAUACCACCCUGAACACAUCUGAUCUCAGAAGCUCAUCAGGAUCGGGCCUGAUGGAUAUCUAGACUGGAGAUGUACACACUUCCCUCAGUUUAAUGUCUGUA
rnacentral:rRNA from 14 species